GACGAACGCUGGCGGCGUGCCUAAUACAUGCAAGUCGAGCGGACUUUCAAGAAGCUUGCUUUUUGAAAGUUAGCGGCGGACGGGUGAGUAACACGCGGGCAACCUGCCUGCAAGACGGGGAUAACUCCGGGAAACCGGGGCUAAUACCGGAUAAUAUCUUCCUUCGCAUGAAGGAAGGUUGAAAGGCGGCGCAAGCUGCCGCUUGCAGAUGGGCCCGCGGCGCAUUAGCUAGUUGGUGAGGUAACGGCUCACCAAGGCGACGAUGCGUAGCCGACCUGAGAGGGUGAUCGGCCACACUGGGACUGAGACACGGCCCAGACUCCUACGGGAGGCAGCAGUAGGGAAUCUUCCGCAAUGGACGAAAGUCUGACGGAGCAACGCCGCGUGAGCGAAGAAGGUCUUCGGAUCGUAAAGCUCUGUUGUCAGGGAAGAACAAGUACCGUUCGAACAGGGCGGUACCUUGACGGUACCUGACCAGAAAGCCACGGCUAACUACGUG
rnacentral:rRNA from 1 species